ACCACUGAGUUAUCAAAUCAUCAUGCUGCAGUUUAUCAACUUUCUUGAAUCACCGCUUCUAAGUCAUGUCUUGUGCAAUUCAGAAUAAGGGCCGAUGGCUAAUUCUCUUAUUUUAGUAGAUGAAGCAUGUGCAACAAUGAGAUAUACGGGAUUCAUCAGGAGUCAUUUCUUGAUCCCAUUUAGGUUAUGUUUCGAAAAUAUAAUAGAAUUGAGCUGAAGUG
rnacentral:lncRNA from 1 species